UGUACAUAUGUCGAAAUGACGGAACUUUGUUUUUUUUUAUAAAUAAAUAGGAGAUGGCGACUUAACCACAAAACGAUGUACGUCAAGUCUGACCUAACCUGGGGACUGUCUUUAUAAAGAAACAAAGUU